rnacentral:misc_RNA from 1 species
GGAAGGAUCAUUCACACGUUGCCACGUAAAAAACACACGUUGAACUGGUUUGAGUCCUCUUAAGGUACGUCCUGGGAAUGGGCUCUCGACUCAGCGUCAUCGCAGCAGGGAGCGACUGUGAGUGUCGCAAAGAAGCCCGUAUGGGGCAGCGCACUGGACACACGGAGUCGGACAGAAUCUUUUGCCAGCCAGUGAUCCAAAUGGGACGUUCCCAAAUAACAUCAAUCCGCCGUACGAUUGAGGGAAUGAUGAUCAAACUGGUGUGGUGACUGUAAACUCACGAUUUGCAGGAGUCUUCCGACUUGCUCCAUCUGUGAAUCCUCAAACCCGCACCUCGACCUUGGUGAUGUCUUUUUUUCUAAAGGAAAUUAAAGCGAUAGCUUUGUUUCUUUUUAAUAAUGUUUAACAACUCUAACAACUCUUAGCAACGGAUAUCUUGGCUCCCACAACGAUGAAGAACGCAGCGAAAUACGAUACGUAAUGCGAAUUGCAGAAUUCAGUGAAUCAUCAAAUCUUCGAACGCAGACUGCACUCUUGGGAUAUCCCUAAGAGUACGCCUCUCUCAGUGUCGAAUAAACUUCUCAGAGCUGAGCAAUCAGUUUCUGGAUAUUGAGUCUCAUAUUUUGUAAGCCAGGAUCGCGGGGGAGCGGGAGCUGAGGGAGUCUUUGGGCUGAGAAAUAUGUGAUUUUAAGUGAAACAAACCAGCAAGGCGGACCCCUGACAGUUAUGGGCGUCGGACGUCUUGUUGUUGGUUAACACCAGCAACCGGGCCCCUUAAAUCGAACUGUAACCGUUUUUGCGAGUAGUGCGAAUUGCUGAGGAAUGAAAUGUAUUAAAUCUAGACCUGAGAUGAAGCGAGAGUACCCGCUGGAUUUACGCAUAUUAUUAAGCGGAGGAAAAAGAAACUAACAAAUAUUCGCUCAGUAACGGCGAGUGAAGCGGGAACAGCUCAAAUUGAAAAUCGGUUUCCCAUACGGGCUGCCGAGUUGUAAUCUUUAGAUGGUCUGCGAUGACCCAGGUAUAAGUCCUUUGGAACAGGGCGUCAUAGAGGGUGAGAACCCCGUCUUUGACCUGGAAGCAUCGUAUACGAUACGUGUUCAACGAGUCGAGUUGCCUGGGAUCGCAGCUUUAAGUGGGUGGUAAAUCUCAUCUAAAGCUAAAUAUCGGUGGGAAACCGAUAGCGAACAAGUAGCGUGAGCGAAAGAUGAAAAGAACUUUGAAAAGAGAGUUAAACAGUACUUGAAAUUGCUAAGAGGGAAGUUAUGGAACCCAGUCAGUCCUCCGGCGCAUUAACUAACCCGUCGCGCGAAUCUUGGCUUUGCUGUGUUUAACACCUGCGAGGCCUUGUAGCCGUGGCGAGGGAAGGGCACUGUGCUGUUGGUUGUGUCAACAUCAAUUGGCUUUGACGGAGAAACCGGAAGGGAAGGUAGGGAUUGCGGGUUUCGGCUUGCUUUCCUGUUCUAGCCCUUUCGGUAUACGUGGAAGUUGAUUGAGGUCAAGGCAAGGCACCCCGCAAGGGAUCUGGCCCCUACGGUCUGAGGAGGAGUUGAGGUAUGGAAAGCAUUGCUUUGCUGCUUUGGCUUCGUACUCACUGCCGGAUGUGUGCUAUUUGUGUCCUUCGCGAUGUUGACGAAAUGGUUUUCAUUGACCCGUCUUGAAACACGGACCAAGGAGUCUAACAUAUAUGCAAGUAUUUGGGUGUGUAAAACUCGAAUGCGGAAUGAAAGUAAAGGGGGCUUGCCCUUGAGGUAGGAUCCGUUCCUUCUGGGGGCGUGGCACUAUCGACCGAUCGCGGCUUGCCGUAGAUUUGAGUAAGAGCAUAUCUGUUGGGGCCCGAAAGAUGGUGAUCUAUGCUUGAACAGGGUGAAGCCAGGAGAAAUUCUGGUGGAAGCUCGUAGCGGUACUGACGUGCAAAUCGUUCGUCUGAUAGGGGCGAAAGACUAAUCGAACCAUCUAGUAGCUGGUUCCCUC